CCUACGGGAGGCAGCAGUGAGGAAUUUUCCGCAAUGGGCGAAAGCCUGACGGAGCAAUACCGCGUGAGGGAUGACUGCCUAUGGGUUGUAAACCUCUUUUUUCAGGGAGGAACACAAUGACGUGUACCUGAAGAAUAAGCAUCGGCUAACUCCGUGCCAGCAGCCGCGGUAAU
rnacentral:rRNA from 1 species